ensembl:lncRNA
UUUGAGAACAAGCCACUGUAGAAGCUUGGCGGUCAGCUGCCAGAGCUAUGCUGCAGAAGAGUUGGAACAGCUCUCCUCUUGGUCCUGAGAGAUCCCUUCCUAACGGUCCACUCCACCCCUCAAAGGAGUUAGAUCUCAACUCACCUUGUGAUCUGAGAAGUGGACUGAUUGAACCCUUGUCUGCAAAAGAGAAAACUAAGAUUGGUGACAUCUUAGAAUUUAUGAAGGUGACCCAAGGGUGCAUUCAUGGGCAAUGGAAGAUGCCUGGAAGAAGCAGGAGACCAGAUUCCUUUCUAAUUAAGUCAGCCAGCACUAGAAAAUGAUUACAUUUAUAUUAUUUUUGCAUUUACCUGAAUAGUCUCUUUAAUAGUACCUAGGAAAAAAAAAAAAAAGAACUUCAGACCUGUAAAGAACCUUCAGCACAG